rnacentral:lncRNA from 1 species
CUAAUAUGUGCUUUUGUGCUGAUCUUGUGCAAACUUCUUAAGCCUGCGCACCUGCUUUCUCAUGUCCUGUCGGUGGAAAUCAUGGAGCCUCGGGACUGCUGUUUGAACGCUGUACUGUAGAAGGCACAGACUGAGAUGCUGGAUCAACUGCGCAUGCCUGUCUUUGUGACCGGCUGCUAUCGAUCCUUCCGAGCCCGUGUGCCACGCUGGAAAGCUGCAUCUAAGAGUUAAGAUUUACUGGCUUAAAAGCGUGUGUGUCGUGGGAUUGCGCGGUGGCUCAAUUGUGAGAAUUCAAUGUGAACAUCUUUGAAAUGCAGUUUCAAAUCUCCCACACGCUGACAAGAGCCACGUGAACCAUUGUGCAGCACUGCACCCAUUUGACAGAUGAGAGCAUGGAUACCUAACCGGAGCCUGGCAGGUCUUGGACAGCAGAGGCCACCCUGCAUCUGACACCAUCUCUUGUAAUCCAUGACUUCUCUUCCUGCCUCCAUGAAUCUCCAGAUAACAGAUUCCUGCCCUCCUAAAAGAUGGGAACUGACAUCCUAGCAGGCUCCUGGGCGAUGCAGAUGCUGGCAUUCUGGGCACUGCCCUUUGGAAAGCUAUGAUGACCACUGAAGCAGAACAGACCAAAGCAAAGAGGUGGGAAAGUCGCGAGAAGAUACAGGACUGGCUGGGAUACAUCAGGAAGAGGAGCUGCGAUGGAUGGGACUUCAAAUGGAAGUUGGUGAUUAUAUCCGUCCCAGCACCUCCCGCCUUGCAAGAGAGGCCUUAUAAAUCCUGGUCACAAGGAAGGGAAACAGAAGCUCAAGGAAGAGAGAGCCAUGGCUUCCUAGGUGUCAGUGAAGACCCAGACGCUGAAACUAUAACCGCCUAGUUCAGAAACCUAUACUUUGCUUGACCACAAUCCAAGCAGGGGGUGGGGAUGGGAUGUUUUUCUGCAGGGCUGGACAUAGAGUCAGUGUUCAGAGCACAUUGUUGGAGAGAGGAAGGAUGGGUGAGUGAAUAAGUGAAGAAAUGAAUGAGAGAACAGAACCACUUUGAGAGCCUGGAAACCGGGACCUCACGCUCUGUGACCUCACGCUCCAACUUCCCCUCCUCCCCGAGUCUGAUCUGAAAGGUGACCCCCGUUCCUCUCGCCCAGGUGAUAAAGCCAGGUGCAGGUGCACCUGUUACCCAAACCUGAUAUCCAAAUAGGAAGUAAGGCUGAGAUAAGGCUGUGGAGGGCAGUGCCUGGAAUCACGGGGUUGGGCUGGCCAUUGGCUUGAUGCCACAAGUGUCCACCGAGCCUCUCCUAAAGGUUGAGCUCUAUGCCAGGUUCCUUCAGGGUGAGGCAGGAAGCCACGCAGCUCCUGACCUCCAACAGCUUAUGGAAAAAAAAAAUACUUACAAACAGGAUGUGGGUCGGGCAAAGGGAGAAGUGUGAAGCAGGUGGCCAUUGCUCCCUGACAGCUCCAACAGGGAGUUGGGACUGAGAGAUGAGAAGAAAUGAGGCAGUAGUUAGUGAUGCCAGGGGAGGGGCCUGACCCUUGCACUGCCAUUGCUGAGGAAUAAGAGGUCCUUAAAGUUUAGCUCCUCAGACCCAGACCCCUCCCCAGUCCUCCUAC